UGGGGAAUCUUGCGCAAUGGGCGAAAGCCUGACGCAGCCAUGCCGCGUGAAUGAUGAAGGUCUUAGGAUUGUAAAAUUCUUUCACCGGGGACGAUAAUGACGGUACCCGGAGAAGAAGCCCCGGCUAACUUCGUGCCAGCAGCCGCGGUAAUACGAAGGGGGCUAGCGUUGCUCGGAAUUACUGGGCGUAAAGGGCGCGUAGGCGGAUCGUUAAGUCAGAGGUGAAAUCCCGGAGCUCAACUUCGGAACUGCCUUUGAUACUGGCGAUCUUGAGUGUGAGAGAGGUAUGUGGAACUCCGAGUGUAGAGGUGAAAUUCGUAGAUAUUCGGAAGAACACCAGUGGCGAAGGCGACAUACUGGCUCAUUACUGACGCUGAGGCGCGAAAGCGUGGGGAGCAAACAGGAUUAGAUACCCUGGUA
rnacentral:rRNA from 1 species